AACGUACGCUGGCGGCACGCCUAACACAUGCAAGUCGAACGAAGUAGCAAUACUUAGUGGCAGACGGGUGAGUAACAUGUAGGUAUCUGCCCUUUGGCCUGGAAUAACACGAGGAAACUUGUGCUAAUACCGGAUAAGUCUUUACGGAGAAAGCUUUAUGCACCAUUGGAUGAGCCUGCACUUGAUUAGUUUGUUGGUGGGGUAAUGGCCUACCAAGACUGUGAUCAAUAGCUGAUUUGAGAGGAUGAUCAGCCACAUUGGGACUGAGACACGGCCCAAACUCCUACGGGAGGCAGCAGUGGGGAAUCUUGCACAAUGGAGGAAACUCUGAUGCAGCGAUGCCGCGUGAGUGAAGAAGGCCCUUGGGUUGUAAAGCUCUUUCGUCGGGGAAGAAAAUGACUGUACCCGAAUAAGAAGGUCCGGCUAACUUCGUGCCAGCAGCCGCGGUAAUACGAAGGGACCUAGCGUAGUUCGGAAUUACUGGGCUUAAAGAGUUCGUAGGUGGUUGAAAAAGUUAGUGGUGAAAUCCCAGAGCUUAACUCUGGAACUGCCAUUAAAACUUUUCAGCUAGAGUAUGAUAGAGGAAAGCAGAAUUUCUAGUGUAGAGGUGGAAUUCGUAGAUAUUAGAAAGAAUACCAAUUGCGAAGGCAGCUUUCUGGAUCAUUACUGACACUGAGGAACGAAAGCAUGGGUAGCGAAGAGGAUUAGAUACCCUCGUAGUCCAUGCCGUAAACGAUGUGUGUUAGACGUUGGAAAUUUAUUUUCAGUGUCGCAGGGAAACCGAUAAACACACCGCCUGGGGAGUACGACCGCAAGGUUAAAACUCAAAUGAAUUGACGGGGACCCGCACAAGUAGUGGAGCAUGUGGUUUAAUUCGAAGAUACGCGCAGAACCUUACCAACACUUGACAUGUUCGUCGCGACUCUAAGAGAUUAGAGUUUUCGGUUCGGCCGGACGAAACACAGGUGCUGCAUGGCUGUCGUCAGCUCGUGUCGUGAGAUGUUGGGUUAAGUCCCGCAACGAGCGCAACCCUCACUUUUAGUUGCCAUCAUUAAGUUGGGCACUCUGAAAGAACUGCCAGUGAUAAGCUGGAGGAAGGUGGGGAUGACGUCAAGUCCUCAUGGCCCUUACGUGUUGGGCUACACACGCGCUACAAUGGUAUCUACAACAGGAAGCAAAACUGCGAAGUUAAGCAAAUCCCUAAAAGAUACCUCAGUUCGGAUUGCACUCUGCAACUCGAGUGCAUGAAGCUGGAAUUACUAGUAAUCGUGGAUCAGCGUGCCACGGUGAAUGCGUUCCCGGGUCU
rnacentral:rRNA from 1 species